rnacentral:rRNA from 1 species
AUUGAACGCUGGCGGAAUGCUUUACACAUGCAAGUCGAACGGCAGCACGGGGGCAGCCCUGGUGGCGAGUGGCGAACGGGUGAGUAAUACAUCGGAACGUGCCCGGUCGUGGGGGAUAACGUAGCGAAAGUUACGCUAAUACCGCAUACGAUCUGAGGAUGAAAGCGGGGGACCUUCGGGCCUCGCGCGAUCGGAGCGGCCGAUGUCAGAUUAGGUAGUUGGUGGGGUAAAGGCCUACCAAGCCGACGAUCUGUAGCUGGUCUGAGAGGACGACCAGCCACACUGGGACUGAGACACGGCCCAGACUCCUACGGGAGGCGGCAGUGGGGAAUUUUGGACAAUGGGCGCAAGCCUGAUCCAGCCAUUCCGCGUGCAGGACGAAGGCCUUCGGGUUGUAAACUGCUUUUGUACGGAACGAAAAGGCUCUGGCUAAUACCUGGGGCUCAUGACGGUACCGUAAGAAUAAGCACCGGCUAACUACGUG